rnacentral:rRNA from 1 species
GACGAACGCUGGCGGCGUGCCUAAUACAUGCAAGUCGAACGCAGUGGGGACGGGUGAGUAACACGUGGGUAACCUCCCAUCAGAGCGGAUAACACUUGGAAACAGGUGCUAAACCCAUACUGAUGGCUGGACCCGCGGUGCAUUAGCUAGUUGGGGAGGUAACGGCUCACCAAGGCCACGAUGCAUAGCCGACCUGAGAGGGUGAUCGGCCAAACUGGGACGGAGACACGGCCCAGACUCCUACGGGAGGCAGCAGUAGGGAAUCUUCGGCAAUGGGCGAAAGUCUGACGGAGCAAUGCCGCGUGAGUGAAGAAGGUUUUCGGAUCGUAAAGCUCUGUUGUUGGGGAAGCGUUAUCUAACCAGAAAGCCACGGCUAACUACGUGCCAGCAGCCGCGGUAAUUC